rnacentral:lncRNA from 1 species
AUAUAUUAGCGGACAAUGCAGGUUGUGCAGGAACUAAAUAGAAGAUGUAAGCACCAACGAAAGUAGGUUUCGAUUGUUUUUCAAUUUUUCUUUCCUAGUUGAUGGGACAUUGGUUUUUGAAAACGGGAAAUUUAAAAACACUUCAUCCUCCCAUCAUAUAUAAACUAUUAAUAAAUAAAUAAGAGAAUAGAUAAAGAAUGAAAGCCGGGG